rnacentral:pre_miRNA from 1 species
ACAUUUAGGGCCUGAGCCAACGCCCACUGAAGUCAAUGGGAAUCUUUCCAUUGACGUCAAUGGGAGCUGGAUUAGGCCCUUAUCCU